rnacentral:lncRNA from 1 species
UGAUAGGGGAGUCUGGAGGUCUAGAAUCAGGGUUGGAGGCUAAGGGCUCAUAGAGUUCUUCGUACGCCUCUCUCGGGGCUGGGUGUGGGAUAAUAGGGUUACCCAUAGAUGACUAGUGUUUUAGCUUAUGUCCCCUUAUGGUUGUUAGUAUGGUAGUUACUGCUUGUUAUUAUUACAUGCGACUGUAUUUAUGUUUCCUAUGUUUUCAUAAUUAUUUACGUUAUUUCUGCGGGAUUACUUAUGCUUUAUUAUUUUAUUUUGUCUUGCUUUUGUUUUUAAUUUUGUCUUUGUUUUGAUGCAGCUUUUCAUUUUAGCCUAUGCGCCGAGGGUCGAUUGGAAACNNN